rnacentral:rRNA from 1 species
AGAACGAACGCUGGCGGCAGGCUUAACACAUGCAAGUCGAACGGUUGUAGCAAUACAGCAGUGGCAGACGGGUGAGUAACACGUGGGAACCUUCCUAGGGGUACGGAACAACUCAGGGAAACUUGAGCUAAUACCGUAUACGUCCGUGAGGAGAAAGAUUUAUCGCCCCUAGACGGGCCCGCGUAGGAUUAGGUAGUUGGUGAGGUAACGGCUCACCAAGCCUACGAUCCUUAGCUGAUCUGAGAGGAUGAUCAGCCACACUGGGACUGAGACACGGCCCAGACUCCUACGGGAGGCAGCAGUGGGGAAUCUUGGACAAUGGGCGCAAGCCUGAUCCAGCCAUGCCGCGUGAGUGAAGAAGGCCUUCGGGUUGUAAAGCUCUUUUACCAGGGACGAUAAUGACGAUACCUGGAGAAUAAGCCCGGCAAACUUCGUGCCAGCAGCCGC